ACUGCAGGCUGGUGUUGAACUACUGACCUCAGGGGAUCUGCCUGCCGUGGCCUCCCAAAGUGCUGGGAUUACAGGCAUGAGCCACCGUUCCCAGCCUAUUUGAGCUGAUUCUUUAAGGGUGCUGAAAAUCAGACUCAUCUCAAGGAGCUCAUGAGCAAUGAAGGGAGAUGGAUGGGUGAGCAACUGAUUAUCAUGUGACAAGUGAGGUAAUAGAGAUAUGGCUAAAAUGCUAUCUAAAGAAGAAGUAAGGCAUUACUCGUAAUAUAUGGAGUGCUGGGGAAAGAUUUCUGAAAUGAAGCUGGCUGGGCCUGAUGGCUCACACUUGUGAUACCGGCACUUUGGGAGAUGGAAGUGAGGGGAACCAGGAGGAUCUAGGAGUUCAAGACCAGCCUGGUCAACAGAGCAAGACCCUGCCAUCUCUAUAUUUGAAAAAUAAUUAAAUAUUUUUAAUGAAGUGAUAUUUGAGCACUCUGGAACGCCAUACAAAUGUGGGAGAGACUGAAGGAAUAUAUGCAGCUUAAUUUGAGUUUGCAUUUUUUGAAAUUUUGUAUUGUAGAAGUAUACAUAUUUACUGUUGUGGAAUUAGAAAGAAUUGAUAGACAAGGAGGGCGGUCUACAAAGCACUCCUUAGAUCCACCGUACUGAGACAGUGCUUAAUGCUUUGAUGGAUUUAUUUAAACUUUCUGUGCAUAUUCAUGUAUUGUAUGCAUACAUGUGCAUGGUUAAAUAGAACGGGUUCUCCUUGGUGUUCUGUUUGUCCAUUUAUUGUUACAAAGUACGUCCCCAAAGAGUACGUUUGCUUUGCCCGAGAGAGUCUUUUGCUACAUACUGCUGUACUUAAUGAAUACUAAAAAAGGGGCUAACUUUUCAGCCUUGUGACCUUGUGGUGAUUCAAGCAGAGGCUUCAUCAAAGGCAGAUUCAGAAAUGAACUUGGUGUGUGCAGGUGGUUGUGCUUGACACUAUUGUUUGUAAUAGUAUGAUAGGGAUGAUUUCAGUGUCCACCAACAGGAACUGGUUAAGUAAACUGUGGUGCAUCCAAAUGAUGCAUACUGUGCAGCUGAAGAGAAGAACGAGAAAGACUCUGCACUCACGUAGAAGAACUCGGAUCGAUGGUGUGUGUGUUUUAAAAGGAAGAAGGAAUGGUAUCGUAGGUGUGGUAUGCUACUUUUUGUGUUGAGAGAGAAGAGUAGAUUAAGAAUAUACAUGUGUAUUUGCAAAGAUAAAUUCUGAAAUGAUAUAUAAGAAACCAAUUAAAAGUGUUUGGCUGUGGAAGGAGAGUAAGACUGUGAAUGAGAUUUUGCCGCAUACUUUUAUAGAUAGUUACAUUUAGAAAUUUUCUGAACUAUAUAUUUAUACACAUGACCCUUUUAAAAAUAAGUGAAUGAAGGAAUGAAGUAGGAUUAUGAGAAAGAGAUAAGGAAAAAGGAUCUAAGGGGCUGCCCAUCUUUUUAGUACCCAGUGAAUCCUAAUAUGUAACAAUAGCAGCAAAAAUUGGAAGAGUAGCCCCAGGAGGGUAGGGAGUCAGCCUUUCCUUUGUCUGUUCCUCAAUUUCAUAUAUUAACAUAUAUUCUGAGAACAAUAAAACAGUUUGAAAUAAAAA